rnacentral:tRNA from 1 species
UACAUUAAGGUGAAUGCACAUUAGUUUUUGAUACUAAUGGAGAGAGUUUAAUUCUAUCUUAUGUAA